rnacentral:rRNA from 1 species
CGUAGGGGCAAGCGUUAUCCGGAUUUACUGGGUGUAAAGGGAGCGUAGACGGCACAGCAAGUCUGAAGUGAAAUCCCCGGGCUCAACCCGGGAACUGCUUUGGAAACUGUUGGGCUGGAGUGCUGGAGAGGCAAGCGGAAUUCCUAGUGUAGCGGUGAAAUGCGUAGAUAUUAGGAGGAACACCAGUGGCGAAGGCGGCUUGCUGGACAGUAACUGACGUUGAGGCUCGAAAGCGUGGGGAGCAAACAGGAUU